GACGUAGGGCGCGAGCGUUGUCCGGAUUUAUUGGGCGUAAAGAGCUCGUAGGCGGCUUGUCGCGUCGACUGUGAAAACCCGUGGCUCAACCAUGUGGUCUGCAGUCGAUACGGGCAGGCUAGAAUUCGGUAGGGGAGACUGGAAUUCCUGGUGGAGCGGUGAAAUGCGCAGAUAUCAGGAGGAACACCGGUGGCGAAGGCGGGUCUCUGGGCCGAUACUGACGCUGAGGAGCGAAAGCGUGGGGAGCGAACAGG
rnacentral:rRNA from 1 species